UACGUAGGCAACAAGCGUUGUUCGGAGUUACUGGGCGUAAAGGGUGUGUAGGCGGUUGUUUAAGUUUGGUGUGAAAUCUCCCGGCUCAACUGGGAGGGUGCGCCGAAUACUGAAUGACUCGAGUGCGGGAGAGGAAAGUGGAAUUCCUGGUGUAGCGGUGAAAUGCGUAGAUAUCAGGAGGAACACCGGUGGUGUAGACGGCUUUCUGGACCGUAACUGACGCUGAGACACGAAAGCGUGGGGAGCAAACAGG
rnacentral:rRNA from 1 species